GGAUGCCCUGGCAGUCAGAGGCGAUGAAGGGCGUGCUAAUCUGCGAUAAGCGCCGGUAAGGUGAUAUGAACCGUUAUAACCGGCGAUACCCGAAUGGGGAAACCCAGUGUGACUCGUCACACUAUCAUUAACUGAAUCCAUAGGUUAAUGAGGCGAACCGGGGGAACUGAAACAUCUAAGUACCCCGAGGAAAAGAAAUCAACCGAGAUUCCCCCAGUAGCGGCGAGCGAACGGGGAGGAGCCCAGAGCCUGAAUCAGCAUGUGUGUUAGUGGAAGCGUCUGGAAAGGCGCGCGAUACAGGGUGACAGCCCCGUACACAAAAGCGCAUGUGCUGUGAGCUCGAUGAGUAGGGCGGGACACGUGGUAUCCUGUCUGAAUAUGGGGGGACCAUCCUCCAAGGCUAAAUACUCCUGACUGACCGAUAGUGAACCAGUACCGUGAGGGAAAGGCGAAAAGAACCCCGGCGAGGGGAGUGAAAAAGAACCUGAAACCGUGUACGUACAAGCAGUGGGAGCCCCACCACCAAAGCAUUUGCUGUACCGCGUUGACGGAGCGAAGCGACGUCAAACCGAUAAAACAGCAGUG
rnacentral:rRNA from 1 species